rnacentral:rRNA from 1 species
AUUGAACGCUGGCGGCAUGCCUUACACAUGCAAGUCGAACGGUAACAGGUCUUCGGAUGCUGACGAGUGGCGAACGGGUGAGUAAUACAUCGGAACGUGCCUAGUAGUGGGGGAUAACUACUCGAAAGAUUGGCUAAUAACGCGUGAGUUCUACGGAUUAAAGCAGGGGAUCGCAAAUCGUUGUGCUACUAAAGUGGCCUAUGGUAGAUUAGGUAGUUGGUGGGAUAAAAGCUUACCAAGCCGACGAACUGUAGCUGGUGUGAGAGGACGAUCAGCCAGACUGGGACUGAGACACGGCCCAGACUCCUACGGGAGGCAGCAGUGGGGAAUUUUGGACAAUGGGCGAAAGCCUGAUCCAGCAAUGCCGCGUGCGGGAUGAAGGCCUUCGGGUUGUAAACUGCUUUUGUACGGAACGAAAAGCCCCGGGUUAAUACCCUGGGGUCAUGACGGUACCGUAAGAAUAAGCACCGGCUAACUACGUGCCAGCCGCCGCCGUAA